UUCUCUUCUUCUCAUUUUUGGUCAGCAAUUUCCUCUCAUUCUCUUCUUGGUUCUGUUCUCAGCUGUUCAGCCAACUUAGGCGGUGAGCCGAAUCUCUUUUUAGCUUUCAUUCUUCUUCUUAGUUUUCUUUGGCAGCUUCGGAAAUAACUUGAAAAAUUUUCUUUCGGUUUCGAAGUAGUUCACUGUUUAAUCGGCUUUGCUUACUGGAAAUUCACUUUUGUCGGCAUGGUUCUUUUGUAUAAUUCACCUCAGAUGUGUGUUUGGUUUCCCAAUCUCUUGUAUAAUUUCUAAGUUCACUGUUUAAUUGGCUUCGCUGGAAAUUCACUUCUGUCACCGUGGUUCUCUUGUAUAAUUCACUUCAGACGUGUGUUUGGUUUCCCAAUCACAUCAGUGGUCUGUGGUUUUGCAAGAUUAAUGCUUUGAGAAUGGGUCGGAAUAGAGUACAUGAAAGUUUGGAAGAGGCUCAUGCUGAGAAAAAUCGAAGGAGUCGCGACCAGCGUGCUGCUGCUCGGCGUCGGACAAAGAAUGAUGCGCCAUUAGGAGCGUGUACACCAGCUGUCACACCUUUUAAUAUACGUGACCCAAAUGCUGUGAAUCAGCCAAAUAUGGAUGCGACUGAAUCUUCAUUGGGCUCGGACUCAUUGCUGGCAUCUACAGAGAGUACUACAGAGCAGUUUCUAGCUGAAAAUGAACGAGAUGUAUCUAGGUCUAUUGGUAAUGGUGCUAACGAGGUUCUAGCAACUAAUUUAGAUACUGGUGAACCAUCGCUGCAUAGGCAACGUCGGUCUAGAAAACGCUUUGUGACUGAUCCAUUAACCAGAAUAGCUACAGAGCCUACAGUAUUGCCGAGUAAUGCAGAGCAGUUUCCAACUAUAUGUUUGUGCUUAUUUUGAGCAUGUCUCAUGGAAUAUAAAUUGUUGCUUAAACCCCUUGCAAUAAAUGUGAGAUUAUUUAUGUUAAUAGUGGUUUCGUCUACAAGCAAUAGUUCUGGUGUUUUGUUCAUUAUCUUAUUAGGGAGGAUUUCCUCAACUUCAGCUUCAAGCUCAUUCUUCCCCAUUUUGCGUUACAAAAUGAAGAUUAUAUUUGUUUGGUGUCACGUAUAAUUAUCAUUUUCCAUCCUUUGCAAAUUUGUAGUUUGAGGCAGCUUGGGCUCUCACAAACAUUGCUUCUGGGGCAUCUAAGCACACUAAGGCUGUAUGGGCUCUGUGAAAUGUGGUUGGUGAUUUCCCAAAAUGCCGUGAUCUUGUUCUUGGUCAUGGAGCUCUAGGUCUUUUGCUGGCUCAGCUAAAUGAGCAUGCAACUAUCAUUGUUGCGAAAUGCCACUUGGACACUAUCUAAUUUCUGCAGAGGCAAGUUUCAGCCUUAUUUUGACAAGAGAGAAUGCAAAAGUUACGUUGGAUUACAUACUCAACGUCACCAAAGGCUCGGAUGGAUUGAGAAAAAUUCUCAAGAGUCAUUAGCGUUUAUUUUGAACCUAAAUGAAUUGGUUGGCUAUAUUAUUAUAAUUGCUGUGUACUUUUGCUUCAGUUUUGUGUAC